rnacentral:rRNA from 1 species
GAGUUUGAUCAUGGCUCAGGACGAACGCUGGCGGCGUGCCUAACACAUGCAAGUCGAGCGAUGAAGCCCUUCGGGGUGGAUUAGCGGCGGACGGGUGAGUAACACGUGGGUAACCUGCCUCAAAGUGGGGGAUAGCCUCCCGAAAGGGAGAUUAAAACCGCAUAAUAUUAGAUUUUCGCAUGAAGAACUAAUUAAAGGAGUAAUCCGCUUUGAGAUGGACCCGCGGCGCAUUAGCUAGUUGGUGAGGUAAAGGCUCACCAAGGCGACGAUGCGUAGCCGACCUGAGAGGGUGAUCGGCCACAUUGGAACUGAGACACGGUCCAGACUCCUACGGGAGGCAGCAGUGGGGAAUAUUGCACAAUGGGCGAAAGCCUGAUGCAGCAACGCCGCGUGAGUGAUGAAGGCCUUCGGGUUGUAAAGCUUUGUCUUUGGGGACGAUAAUGACGGUACCCAAGGAGGAAGCCACGGCUAACUACGUGCCAGCAGCCGCGGUAAUACGUAGGUGGCGAGCGUUGUCCGGAUUUACUGGGCGUAAAGGAUGCGUAGGUGGAUGUUUAAGUCAGAUGUGAAAUACCCGAGCUU